rnacentral:rRNA from 1 species
UCAACCUGAGAGUUUGAUUCUGGCUCAGAACGAACGCUGGCGGCAGGCCUAACACAUGCAAGUCGAACGCCCCGCCUUUAAAUGGCUCGUGGGAGCGCGGCAUGUUCUACGUGUACGUCCUUCAGGAUUGCGAGAAGUUGGACCGAUUUUACAUCGGCUAUUCGAGUGAUUUGAAGCGGCGGUUCGAAGAACACAACUCGGGCAACAGCCAUUCGACGCGCGGGCGUCGAUGGCGCCUCGUCUAUUACGAGGCGUAUUUGCUCAAGGAAGCUGCAAUCAAACGAGAGCGGGUCCUGAAGGGAGACGGCAGAACACGUCGUCACCUGAUGGAUCGGAUUCACGCCAUGCUCUCAGAGCAAGGCGCGAUCGAGCCAUUUAAUGGCGGGGAGUGGCAGACGGGUGAGUAACACGUGGGAACGUGCCCUAAGGUUCGGAAUAUUCCCGGGAAACUGGGAGCAAUACCGAAUGUGUCCGCAAGGAGAAAGAUUUAUCGCCUUAGGAUCGGC